UACGGAGGGUGCGAGCGUUGUUCGGAAUUACUGGGCGUAAAGCGCGCGUAGGCGGCUUUGUAAGUUAGAGGUGAAAGCCCGGGGCUCAACCCCGGAAUUGCCUUUAAGACUGCAUCGCUUGAAUCCGGGAGAGGUGAGUGGAAUUCCGAGUGUAGAGGUGAAAUUCGUAGAUAUUCGGAAGAACACCAGUGGCGAAGGCGGCUCACUGGACCGGUAUUGACGCUGAGGUGCGAAAGCGUGGGGAGCAAACAGG
rnacentral:rRNA from 1 species